UUCUACACACAGCUAUAUAGCAGAUUUAAAGCCCCCGGGAAUCCACAGCCUUCUUCCUUUUCCAUUUAACCAGCCUGGCGCUGUGGAGUGCGCGACUCUGACACAACUCGAGACUUGCACAGGGGAGCUGACUCCAACACCGAAAACACUGAUGGAGGAACAGUCGCCUGAAGUGCCCCCAGAGACUCGGCAGAAGGAAGUUGACAGCCCUUACACUGGCCAUUGCACACAAAGUGACGGGACCAAGAGGACAGCAUUUAAACAAAAGCAGGAGUAGGCUCUAAGGCUUCUGGAGUCUUCAUCAUUCAAUGGAUUUAUGGCUGAUUCUGUACUUGGCUUAUUCCUUUCCAUACAUACCCCAAUUUCCCGGAAUCCAACCAUCUGCAGAGUUUAACUGAAUGAGCAUCCAGAUCUCCUGAGGUUCUGCACCAGCUCCAGACGAAUAUGGUGUUCUCAGUAUCUGGUUUAUUACCACUGACACAUGUUAUUUGUUCACAAACAAGAGAAAAUGUACAGAUGCUGGAAAUCCAAGCAAAACACACAAAAUGCUGGAGGAAACGUCAGGCCGAAAGGUCGACUGUACUCUUUUCUGUACGUGCUGCCUGGCCUGCUGAGUUCCUCCAGCAUUUUGUGUGUGUUGUUAUGAAAUUUUCUGUAGCAGU